rnacentral:misc_RNA from 1 species
UCACUAGUCAAACUUUGUUCUCGACUAAUGAGUGACAAUAUACUUGACGCCCUAGGCAAUCUAAGUCGACUUCCAAGUGGGGAGUUCAUUUUGGGUUUUCCAAUAUGAACGAUGAUCUGCGGCAACCUCGGGAAUUAUGCGGCAUCGACAAAUGUUGUGCCACGUCUCGAUGUUGUUGACCCGUCUCCUGAUUUUGAAUCUCUUGUUUCGUUUGCCGAUGAUAUUCGUUAAAAGAUGCAGCUAUGGCWGGUUGCUUGGGGAUCUUAGUUUUACUUCGAUCUUUGUUUUAAGCUUAAUUGGUUUCUUCACGAGUUAUGCAUGAUCCGUCUGAUUGUAUGGCAUGUUCUUGAUUGACUGUUGCCUUACGAUUGGAUUGUUUGUGUGACCGAUGACAUGAUUUGACUUGUUAAUCUUAAAACUUGUGAUGGCGAUUUGGCAUUGUUGCAUUUGUUGAUGAGUAUUUUUGAACGAUGAUGCAAGUGUUCUCUGGUUCGUUGUUGACGAGAUUCGUCUCAAUUGGAUGUGGUGCCAUGUUGCUUGUUGAUCCUAGUUUCAAGCUUGUUAAGUUAAAAACAUGGAUUACUGAUUAGUGACUGGUCAUCGCGUCGUUGGUUGAUGAAGGUCGUUCAAUGAUGCAUUGGUUGUUUUUGUUCUCGCAUCGUUCGGUGCAUUCUGGGGUCAUUUUGGCUAUUAGCUGCUUGCCUGGCAUUUGAGCUUGGUGGGUGGCUGUUAGUUGGGUGAUUUCGGGGAUGUCAACCGUAAAGGUGCAUGAGUGGUGUUUGGUUUGUUACGGGUGGUUGGCUCUUUGCUUGCGCAACAACUUCCACCUGGCAAACUUCUUCAGUCUUGUGUCAAUGCUUGUAUCGCAUUGAAUGCAUGGUGGGUUUCUUGUGUUGCAUACCUAAUUGAUGGUAUCA